rnacentral:rRNA from 1 species
UACAUGGGGUGCAAGCGUUAAUCGGAAUUACUGGGCGUAAAGCGUGCGCAGGCGGUUAUGUAAGACAGGGGUGAAAUCCCCGGGCUUAACCUGGGAACUGCAUUUGUGACUGCAUAGCUAGAGUACGGUAGAGGGGGAUGGAAUUCCGCGUGUAGCAGUGAAAUGCGUAGAUAUGCGGAGGAACACCGAUGGCGAAGGCAAUCCCCUGGACCUGUACUGACGCUCAUGCACGAAAGCGUGGGGAGCAAACAGG